rnacentral:rRNA from 1 species
ACGGGUGAGUAAUGUCUGGGAAACUGCCUGAUGGAGGGGGAUAACUACUGGAAACGGUAGCUAAUACCGCAUAAUGUCGCAAGACCAAAGAGGAGGACCUUCGGGCCUCUUGCCAUCGGAUGUGCCCAGAUGGGAUUAGCUUGUUGGUGGGGUAACGGCUCACCAAGGCGACGAUCCCUAGCUGGUCUGAGAGGAUGACCAGCCACACUGGAACUGAGACACGGUCCAGACUCCUACGGGAGGCAGCAUG